rnacentral:rRNA from 1 species
CAGUAGCCACGGUAAUACGUAGGGCGCAAGCGUUGUCCGGAAUUAUUGGGCGUAAAGAGCUCGUAGGCGGUCUGUCGCGUCUGGUGUGAAAUCCCGAGGCUCAACCUCGGGCUUGCAUCGGGUACGGGCAGACUAGAGUGCGGUAGGGGAGACUGGAAUUCCUGGUGUAGCGGUGGAAUGCGCAGAUAUCAGGAGGAACACCGAUGGCGAAGGCAGGUCUCUGGGCCGCAACUGACGCUGAGGAGCGAAAGCAUGGGGAGCGAACAGGAUUAGAUACCCGCGUAGUCCCUGUCUCUUAUAC